rfam:Agrilus planipennis Contig52671, whole genome shotgun sequence.
AAAUCGGUUCUUCUCAGAACCACAUCUUUUGCUAGUCACAUCUCA